GAUGAACGCUGGCGGCGUGCCUAACACAUGCAAGUCGAGCGGCAGCGAGGGGUGCUUGCACCCUGUCGGCGAGCGGCGGACGGCUGAGUAACGCGUGGGAACGUGCCCCAAAGUGAGGAAUAACUGCCCGAAAGGGUAGCUAAUACCGCAUAUUAUCUUCGGAUCAAAGGAUUUAUCCGCUUUGGGAGCGGCUCGCGUCGGAUUAGGUAGUUGGUGAGGUAAUGGCUCACCAAGCCGACGAUCCGUAGCUGGUCUGAGAGGAUGACCAGCCAGACUGGAACUGAGACACGGUCCAGACUCCUACGGGAGGCAGCAGUGAGGAAUCUACCACAAUGGGCGAAAGCCUGAUGGAGCAACGCCGCGUGAAGGACGAAGGCCUUCGGGUUGUAAACUGCUUUUAUAAGUGAGGAAUAUGACGGUAACUGAUGAAUAAGGAUCGGCUAACUACGUG
rnacentral:rRNA from 1 species